rnacentral:lncRNA from 1 species
UCUUGCUACUUACAAUUUUCUCUAUCUAUAAUAAACUUGGCUCUUAAGUAACAGAGGAAAAUGUUUUGUAAAAAUUUACAAAAAUUUACCAAAUUAAUGAAAAUUGUUAAAAAUUGACUAUAAAGGGCAAUAACUCCUUAAGGGGUCAAAUGACCAUUUUGGUCAAGUUGACUUAUUUGUAGAUCUUACUUUGCUGAACAUUAUUGCUGUUUACAGUUUAU